rnacentral:snoRNA from 1 species
UGCCUUGUUCUUCAGCAAAUAGGCACAACCUGCUGUGUGUCUGAAUUGGAAAACGGGGCUAGAACAGUAACAGGUUCUGCUUUCCUCGCUGUAAAGUUAAUUGCAGUGGUGACAAUGAGACCUGUAACAAAU